rnacentral:rRNA from 1 species
CCUACGGGAGGCAGCAGUGGGGAAUAUUGGACAAUGGGGGGAACCCUGAUCCAGCGACGCCGCGUGAGUGAAGAAGUAUUUCGUUAUGUAAAGCUCUAUCAGCAGGGAAGAAAGACAUGACGGUACCUGACUACGAAGCCCCGGCUAACUACGUGCCAGCAGCCGCGGUAAUACGUAGGGGGCAAGCGUUAUCCGGAUUUACUGGGUGUAAAGGGAGCGUAGACGGCGAUGCAAGUCUGAAGUGAAAGGCGGGGGCCCAACCCCCGGACUGCUUUGGAAACUGUAUGGCUGGAGUGCAGGAGAGGUAAGUGGAAUUCCUAGUGUAGCGGUGAAAUGCGUAGAUAUUAGGAGGAACACCAGUGGCGAAGGCGGCUUACUGGACUGUAACUGACGUUGAGGCUCGAAAGCGUGGGGAGCAAACAGGAUUAGAUACCCCUGUAGUC